AGCGUAGGCGGACAUUUAAGUCAGGGGUGAAAUCCCGGGGCUCAACCUCGGAAUUGCCUUUGAUACUGGGUGUCUUGAGUAUGAGAGAGGUAUGUGGAACUCCGAGUGUAGAGGUGAAAUUCGUAGAUAUUCGGAAGAACACCAGUGGCGAAGGCGACAUACUGGCUCAUUACUGACGCUGAGGCUCGAAAGCGUGGGGAGCAAACA
rnacentral:rRNA from 1 species